rnacentral:rRNA from 1 species
UACAGAGGGGGCAAGCGUUGUUCGGAAUUACUGGGCGUAAAGGGCGCGUAGGCGGCCUGUUAAGUCGAACGUGAAAGCCCUGGGCUCAACCCAGGAACUGCGUCCGAUACUGGCAGGCUUGAAUCCGGGAGAGGGAUGCGGAAUUCCAGGUGUAGCGGUGAAAUGCGUAGAUAUCUGGAGGAACACCGGUGGCGAAGGCGGCAUCCUGGACCGGCAUUGACGCUGAGGCGCGAAAGCGUGGGGAGCAAACAGG